rnacentral:rRNA from 1 species
CAUUACUGAGUGAGGGCCUUCUGGUCCGACCUCCAACCCCAUGUUAUCCGACACUGUUGCCUCCGGGGCGACCCGGCCUUCGGGCGUCGGGGCCCCGGGUGGACCAUUCAAACACUGCAUCUUUGCGUCUGAGUACACGAUUGAAUCAAUCAAAACUUUCAACAACGGAUCUCUUGGUUCUGGCAUCGAUGAAGAACGCAGCGAAAUGCGAUAAGUAAUGUGAAUUGCAGAAUUCAGUGAAUCAUCGAAUCUUUGAACGCACAUUGCGCCCCUUGGUAUUCCGAGGGGCAUGCCUGUUCGAGCGUCAUUUCACCACUCAAGCCUGGCUUGGUAUUGGGCGCCGCGGUCCGCCGCGCGCCUUAAUGUGUCCGGCUGAGCCGUCCGUCUCUAAGCGUUGUGGUAACCUAUCCGCUUGCGAGAUCGGGGGGCGUCUGGCCGUUAAACUCACCCAAAGGUUGACCUCGGAUCAGGUAGGGAUACCC